GGCUUUAUAUUCAAGAAUAUGAUAUAAAAUUGCAAAUUUUAAGGGGUAAUUUUUUACUAAGGCUU
rnacentral:tRNA from 1 species